GGGCGCGCCCCGCCCCUUUUCUCACACAGCCUCCUCCUCAGCCCCACCCUCUCUCGCUCCUCCCUUUCUAGUUCCCUUUCAGACAUGCGCAGUGCGGCCGUCCCUAGAGGCGGGUUAACGGCCGCGGACCUGGCAGUUCUCAGGCUUCUCCAAGGGAGAAGCCCCCUUGCCAGGGUCUCGAUUUCCCGCCAACCAACAAAGGUUCAUUUGCCUCUUAUGGCCUGCGCGGGAGGGUUGCCAUGUUUUUUAGAUUAAGUACUGCACGACUACUCGCUUCUGAAACUGUCAUAAGAAACUGCCUCAGCUCCCUGCAGGGUGGACACACAAGAGCAGAAUCUCCGUGGGACAUCUCUUUGGAGCAUCAAUAUUACUACAGUAUUUGGAAGACACAAAUUUAAAUAAUUUCUAAGGUAAAGAAUGGAACAUUUAAGACAAGGCUGGAAAGUCAUCUGCCUUUAAUAACUCAUCUGUGCCUCACAUGUCAGACUUUCUCCAAGAAAAAAACUAAGGAGAACUUAUUUCCAUUCUUAUAAGUAGUAAAAAUAAUAAAUCAUAUCAAGUCAAUUGAAAGUCCUGUCUGCUAGUUUCUUAAAUCACAAUAUGGCCUUGGUAUGGUUUUAUUUGUAUUUUUGUGGGGGGUUUGUGGAUCUUUAGAUUAAAAAAGAAUUAGGUUUUUGAACAAUUUUUGAAAGUUUUCAGAUAUUAGUUGUUGAUUUAUUUUUGUAACCCUUUUAAUUCUUCUGACUCUCUCCUCUCCUUCUCAGACUGAAUGAUUCCAUGGGUCUCUAAGCCUCGGUUUAUUUUCUUUAAAUUUUGUUGAUUUGCUUUUCUACCCCAUUUAAUUUUUUCUGUCUCUCUCUUCUUCUCAGAAUCAAUCAUCCCACAGAUAGGUCUAAGGCUCUGUUCAUUUUCUUUUAAACUAUUUUUACUUCUAUCCUCAGAUUGGUUAAAUUAUAUUGCUAUGUCUUCUGUUUCUGAUAUAUAGAAAAGCUCACAAUUAUUUUUAUUAUUUUUCUAUGUGGUCAUUUUUCAUUUCUCUGCUGAUGUUCCACAUCUGUUCAUUUAUGAGAAUAUUUUCCUUUGCCCCCAUGAGCAUGCUUAUAAUAGCUGCCUUCAAAUUCUUGUCUGCUGAUUAUGUCUUGGACAUCUUGGAGAUGUCUACUGCCUGCUUUUUAUCUUGUGUAUGUAUUAUAUUUUCAUGUGUUUUCACGCAUCUCCUGAAUUGGAAAAUUGUGCACUAGAGACUGUAUAGAAGAGUUAAAGAGACUCUGGAUUCUGUUUUGUCCG
rnacentral:lncRNA from 1 species